GACAACCUGCAGAGUUGUGUUGAUCUGGAUUAUGAUGUAGAUUCUUCAUCUAUGAGUGAAGCUCAAUCAAAGAUGGAGGAUCUGCAUCGUAAACUGGAUUAUCACGACUAUCGAACAACG
rnacentral:pre_miRNA from 1 species